GUGUUUGGUCGACAUUUCCCAGGAGUCAAAAGGGGUUCUACCAAGUGAACCCUAAAUCCACAAAAUUGAUCAAAAUCAAGGAGAAAUCAAGCCAAGAAUUUGGGGUUUUUAAUAAAAUCGUGAUCACCAAGCUUAGGGGAUCACAAGUCAUGCAUGAAUGAAUUCUUUUUGACGAUUAACAAGCCAGGUGAAAGCUUGGGAACGAAGCGGGUCAAACAAAGCAAGAAUGACGGAAAAGCAUAAUUCGGAUGCAAGGUAAGUUAAAGCUUACACCUUUCUAUUUAAUAUCUAUUGGUCUUAUAGAUUAUGAAUAAUUAAAAGUCAUAUUCGACUUAUGAUGUUUCAACCCGACAUGCGCGGUUCGGAACAAAAGACAACAAUGAUAAACCAUGUUGGAUAGUUAAAAGAGCUAAUAAUGUCAUUUAGUCAUGCAAUGACUAAUAAAUAACGAGUUUUGAAUGAUUAUCUUAUAAGGUAAAUCAAUACAAUUAAUAAGGGUAAAACGGCAAUGUGGUCACUCGUUGACGAUAACCGUUAGUUUUGAAGGACACUUUUUGGCGUAUGAUAUAAAGGGGUCAAAAUAAUCAAGAAAUAGAUUUAUAAGUAAAAUUGACCGUACGGUGUAAACCGGUACAAGUCAUGUAGACGAGAUAAUAAUAAAUCCAUCUCGCAAAAGUAAACGGUCAUAUAGACCAAACGGGUCAAAAGGUGAAAAUGUCACCCUUUGACAAUAUCGGCUAAUGUUUUGUCGAGUUGCAUGAUUACAGGAAUAAAUAUCGAUUAAAUGAUUGACAACGCUAUUACUUAGCGGCUACUAAGGCAAGGUACUAAAACGGGUCAAUAUGUUGAUCCGAGCCAGGUACGCAUAAUUAUGUUGUAGUUAGUAGUGCUUUUUGGUCAAAUAAUUGGUGAGAGUCAUUCGUCGUAAAAGAAGGACCAAAAUCGACCAAAAUGCCCUUGUAGGCUAAAUUGAACAAACAACCCUUAAAGGUUGUUUGGAAACGUAUUUCAUGAUUAGAAAAAUACUUAGAAUAAGUAUAGAAGUUGAGAGAUGUAAUAUGUUAGUCAAAUAGCUCUAUUUGAGUCUUGCCGUAAAAUAACGAUCCGGAGGGCAAAACUCGGAACAUAUAGAUAUACACAUUGUAAUCCAACACACAAGUAGUUGUAGUUGAAGAUUACUUGAUAGGAAACGUAGGAAUAAAAUGCUAGAAAUAAACGAAAGCGGUUUCAAGCUUUAAGAUGCGUAAAUACCCUUAACGGGUCAAAAUAAGCAUACGAGUGAAAACGGGUUUAAAUUAUGUAAUAAACCUGUUACUAGAACCUAAAAUGGUAGAUAACAUUAGUUUGAAGAAGUGUAUGUGUUAUAGGGAUCAAACAAAUACGUUUGUUUGAUAAAAUCACGAACGGGUCAAAUUUUUGGUAAAAGAGUAAUAAGCCGAAGACUUAAAAGUCUUGAAUUUUAUUAAUCCGGAUAUUGGAUCUUAACUCCGUUAGAUGGAGAAUUAAAUUACGAGCGCGUAGGAAAAAGAAUCGCGUAAAACGGACAAGCGGAUUGAAAGAUACGGAAGUUUCCGUGUCCAUAAACGGCAAAAUGGAAAAGCUGAUGCAGGGGCCACCGUAAAUUACGGUGUCCACCGUAAUUUACGGUGGAGGCUGAAUUUCUUUACGGCAGUUCUCCCCUGCCUUACGGUGGGGAUAUGUUAUAACAGGGCUACCGUAAAUUACGGUGUCCACCGUAAUUUACGGUGGACCCUGUACAAAAAUGUAUUUUUGAUCAGUUUUGUUUCCCGGGCUCGUUUAGAUACGUUUUAAAUCCCGUAUGACUAAAGCAUUUCAUGUUUUUAUGAAAUGUAGGUACUUUGUGGAUGCCGGAAGAAGAUCAAGCUCAACGUAGAACCGAACACGAAUAAGACACAUGCUUCCGCACUUGGCCUCGUCAUAAAUUUUAAAAGACGAAUCUGAUUAAGUUAUGUCAAAUAACUUUUGAUUGCGAAAAGUUUUAAUAAACCCAUAUUUCCAAUGUAUAUGUAAUCUUAAUUACAUGAUUGUUU
rnacentral:lncRNA from 1 species